UUGGUGGACGAGGGGCUUCGCGAUCCCGUCCCCAGGCUGGAAACAGGCUUUAUGUCUCCCUCCGCUACGGAGACAGACCCCCCAGACCCCAGCUACCUCCAGCCCCAGCUCAGCCCACAGAAUACCUCUGUUGAGCUGGCCUCCAUCCGCAGGCGGCAGCAACGGGUCAGGGAGGCUCUGAUGGGGAGGAGCCCUGGAGCGUACACCCAGCUGUUCAAGAGGUGUCCUCAAACAGCUCCAUCAUCAUUAGCCUCUCAGUUUCAGCAGGACCCUGCCUUCUUAUCCCCCAUGAUGCCUAGAGCCAGCCACGCCCCAAAACACAACCACUCAGAAAAUAGCAGCUGUGAUGACUCCCGGGCCAGUUCUGGUCUCUCCAUCCCCAGCUCAGCAGGGGCCUUCUCAGAGACGGCAGGGCCAGCUGGGCGUUUGGAUGUGGAGCUGCUGAAUCUUUCUGCACUGGGAAGCAACUUGGACGAGCUUCAAGGUGACUGUCCCGACGACUGGCUCUGUGUCUCUCUCUGUCUAUGAUUUUCUGUCUCCAUCUGUUUCUCCCUCUCUCUACCUCAUUUUUGCUCAGUCUCUCUCUGUCUCUCUCUCUCCCCAUCUCUCUCAUAGUUGUAUGUUUUAUCUGAUUCUCGGUUUAACUAUUCCACAGAACUGGGUUUUCUAGUCAUACAUUUUCUCAAAUGUUCUUCUUCCCUCCCUUUUUAUCUGUUUCUCUUACCCUCUGUCCCUCCCUUUUUGUCUUUUCUUCUUUCUUUCCAUCCUUCUGUGCUUUUUUCUCUCUCAUCUCUCCCCCUCUGUGUGUCUCUCUUAAUUUCAAUUUCAAAAGGCUUUUAUUUGCAUUGAAAGUGUUACCACAUACAGCACAUUGCCAAAGCAAACAGAAUUAUACCUAUAAAGAGGACAAUACAGUAAGAAAUGAAUGAAUGCAAUAAUGAAAUUGUGAGAAACAGUUUGUAAUGGGAUGGUCCUGAUUGGCUAUUCCCACCAGUUGUGACAGAGGUUUUCUGGUUAAUAUGAAGCAAAUAUACUUGAUUUUGUCCUUUUCAAUCUUUCUUUCAUAAUUGUUAGUUAGAAUUUUGGUAAAAUAACAUCAGUUGCCAUAGUGCUCAGAGUGUAGGUCUGCAUUUGCACUACAUGUCUUCUCUGGUUAGUCAGAUGUGGCUAUGAAAACUGGCCUCUAUGGUCAAACUGAGUCUGUACCAAGAAAGUGUUUUCCUUAGUUUUUUCUUUGUUAGUUAAAAUGGUCAGAAUGUACUUUUCCUUGUUUUUCUAAGCCAAAAGACACUAAAAUGUACUUUUUGGCGAUGUGUUUUUUGUCAUGCCUGUCCGAUAGGUGACAUCUUUUGCUUUUAGUUUAUUUUCGAUUAUUGUGCUAGUCCACAUUGUCUGAGUGCUGUCCUCUUUUUGUUUUUCUUUGAUUGGUUUUAAUUGGUGUUAGUUUGGUUCCAAGUUAGAUUGAUUAAGGCAGAUCAGAUCUAUACCACAGAUAUUGGUAUAUCUAUUUUGAUCGCUAAUUUAAUGGCAUAGUGAGGCCGGAACACUCCCAGGUUGUGUUACUCUUCCAGAUCAAGUGGAUUCGAGCCACCCUCCUGACAGGCCUCGCCAAGGCUCCGAGCGCCUCUCUCCAGCUGCCGUAGUACGACCAGGCUCCAACGCCAAACCCAUCCUACCCCCCAUCCCAUCGGGACGCAAGACCCCCGGACCCAGUCCUAGACCGUGAGAACGGAGAGAGAGGAGGAGUGAAGAGGAGGUAUUGAUGAGGGCGGGGCAUUCAAAUGUAGACCAUGAUGGCCUCAGUUACCACGUUUCCUACAUUCACAGAAUUCGGGCAGGAACACUUUAUGAUUAUUAUUAUUAUUAUUAUAUGAACCUGUUUUUAUUAGCUAAGAGGGUGAGGAGAGGUUGGAGGAGAGGGUGUGCUGGGUUAUCAACGGGCCUGAUACCAACCCACUCCUACUGGUCCAUGUGUUCUGGAGGCAGCUGUAUAGAUGGCCAGACCAUCACAGAACCUUGGCAAUAACCAUAGUCACAGGAUGGUAUAAACUACGGACAAUACACUGAAAUACGCUCAUUGGCUUUUUGCAACCCGACUUGUACCUGAGAUGUUAUAUGUAGUUAAUGGCUUGUGGCUCUACUUGUCCCAGUCAUGGAUCAUGCUCUUGACUACAUGUGAUAUUGUUCUUGCCACAACCUGUCCUGCGGUCUUCAUGAAUGAAGAUGAUGACGGUGUAAUUAGAGUGGUGUUUACUUACACUGCUGCGGAAUUGCAGGUAAUCAAAUCAUAAAACCCACCUCAUAUUUUCAGCAGUCUUCAGAAAGGUUUAUUUGGCAUUCUUGAUAAAAGUUUAGUCAGCAGUCUAGAGAAAGGUUCAAUUGGCAGUACGAUACAACCACACCAUUCUGUUUUUGGUUUAUGCCCAUUCCAUUCUGUUUUUGGUUUAUGCCCACACCAUUCUGUUUUUGAUUAACGCCCACUCCAUUCAGUUUUUUGGUAAACUCCCACUCCAUUCUGUUGUUGGGUCACCCCCACAACAUUUCCUUCUUGGUAUAUUCCCACACCAUUCCUACACAAGUAAAAUUUUAACAUACCUAAUUACAAUUUCUUUUGGAAGGAAAAGUAUUUUAUUUUGUAUGUAUUAACUCUAGAUAAUAUUUCAAAUAAAUGUGGUCGUUAGAACUUUGCAUUAUUGUAAUUAUUGAUAUGUAAAACUGAGAUCUCAAUAGCCUACCUUUUCAGUUGUAGGGUUAAUACUGGUAGGUUUGGAAAUAUGAGAGGAGUUGUGUUGCAUAUGUUUAUGCAGGAAAAUAUUCAAAGUAUGUUGUGGAUUUCAACAAUGCUUAUAAAAAAUGUCUACCAGAAUUGUUUUACAAGCUAGUCAUCAAUGGACUGCGAGCUAGCAGUAUCUCAGCUUGGAACUAUUAGAGAUCCCUGGUCAACCUAAUUCCCAAACAUUCCAUGAAAGUAGGAACGUUUCAAAAAGCCCAUAUCCAUUGUAUGUGCUUGCUUGUUUUUUGUAUUCCUUUUGGUGUCAUAAUAUUUGUGAGGGUGUAUAGAAACACUUUUUAAUAAAA
ensembl:lncRNA